rnacentral:rRNA from 1 species
UACGAAGGGUGCAAACGUUGCUCGGAAUUAUUGGGCGUAAAGCGCACGUAGGCGGCUUAGCAAGUUGGAUGUGAAAUCCCUCGGCUCAACCAAGGAAGUGCAUCCAAAACUGCUGAGCUUGAGUACUUAAGAGGAUCGCGGAAUUCCCGGUGUAGAGGUGAAAUUCGUAGAUAUCGGGAGGAACACCAAUGGCGAAGCGAGCUCUCUGGGACGGUAUGACGCUGAGACGCGAAAGCGUGGGGAGCGAACAGG